rnacentral:tRNA from 1 species
AUUGCUUUGGUCCAAUGGUAGAACGACUGUCUGCAGGUAAUGUGGGUUCAAGUCCCACAAGCAGCC